rnacentral:rRNA from 1 species
GCAGCACGGGGUUUACCCUGGUGGCGAGUGGCGAACGGGUGAGGAAUACAUCGGAACGUGUCUAUAAGUGGGGGAUAACGCAUCGAAAGGUGUGCUAAUACCGCAUAUCUCUCAGGAGAAAAGCAGGGGAUCGCAAGACCUUGCGCUUUAGGAGCGGCCGAUGCCUGAUUAGCUUGUUGGUAAGGUAAAAGCUUACCAAGGCUUCGAUCAGUAGCUGGUCUGAGAGGACGACCAGCCACACUGGGACUGAGACACGGCCCAGACUCCUACGGGAGGCAGCAGUGGGGAAUUUUGGACAAUGGGGGGAACCCUGAUCCAGCCAUGCCGCGUGAGUGAAGAAGGCCUUCGGGUUGUAAAGCUCUUUCAGCCGGAACGAAACGGUUACGAUUAAUACUCGUAAUUAAUGACGGUACCGGCAGAAGAAGCACCGGCUAACUACGUGCCAGCAGCCGCGGUAAUACGUAGGGUGCGAGCGUUAAUCGGAAUUACUGGGCGUAAAGGGUCCGCAGGUUGUUUUGUAAGUCAGAUGUGAAAGCCCCGGGCUUAACCUGGGAACUGCGUCUGAAACUACAAGGCUAGAGUAUGGCAGAGGGGGGUGGAAUUCCGCGUGUAGCAGUGAAAUGCGUAGAUAUGUGGAGGAACACCGAUGGCGAAGGCAGCCCCCUGGGUCAAUACUGACGCUGAGGGACGAAAGCAUGGGGAGCAAACAGGAUUAGAUACCCUGGUAGUCCAUGCCCUAAACGAUGUCAACUAGUUGUCGG